UACGAAGGGGGCUAGCGUUGCUCGGAAUCACUGGGCGUAAAGGGUGCGUAGGCGGGUCUUUAAGUCAGGGGUGAAAUCCUGGAGCUCAACUCCAGAACUGCCUUCGAUACUGUUUGGCUUGAGACCGGAAGAGGUAAGUGGAACUGCGAGUGUAGAGGUGAAAUUCGUAGAUAUUCGCAAGAACACCAGUGGCGAAGGCGGCUUACUGGUCCGGUUCUGACGCUGAGGCGCGAAAGCGUGGGGAGCAAACAGG
rnacentral:rRNA from 1 species